GGGUCACCAGUGGAAGUAACUACAACUAAUGAUCAUGGCAAACAAUAUAGUGACGGAAAAUGGCAUGAAAUAAUUGCUAUUAGGCAUCAGGCUUUUGGCCAAAUCACUCUGGAUGGGAUAUAUACAGGUUCCUCUGCCAUCCUGAAUGGUAGUACUGUUAUUGGAGAUAACACAGGAGUCUUUCUGGGAGGGCUGCCGCAAAGUUAUACCAUCCUCAGGAAGGAUCCUGAGAUAAUCCAAAAAGGUUUUGUGGGCUGUCUCAAGGAUGUACAUUUUAUGAAGAAUUACAAUCCGUCAGCUAUUUGGGAACCUCUGGAUUGGCAGAGUUCUGAAGAACAAAUCAACGUGUAUAACAGCUGGGAGGGAUGUCCCGCUUCAUUAAAUGAGGGAGCUCAGUUCCUAGGAGCAGGGUUCCUGGAACUUCAUCCAUAUAUGUUUCAUGGUGGAAUGAACUUUGAGAUUUCCUUUAAGUUCAGAACUGACCAAUUAAAUGGAUUGCUUCUUUUCGUUUAUAACAAAGAUGGACCUGAUUUUCUUGCUGUAUGUGAAUUAAUUUGAUUAAAAUUACUUUAAAAUAUAGGACCCAACUUUAAAAUAAAUAAACCAUGUGUUGGCAUUACACUUAA
rnacentral:sRNA from 1 species